rnacentral:rRNA from 1 species
ACAUCCAGAGAAGCUUGUAGAGAUACGAGUCGUGCCUUCGGGAGCUCUGAGACAGGUGCUGCAUGGCUGUCGUCAGCUCGUGUUGUGAAAUGUUGGGUUAAGUCCGCAACGAGCGCAACCCUUAUCCUUGUUUGCCAGCACUUCGGGUGGGAACUCCAGGGAGACUGCCGGUGAUAAACCGGAGGAAGGUGGGGACGACGUCAAGUCAUCAUGGCCCUUACGAGUAGGGCUACACACGUGCUACAAUGGCGCAUACAGAGGGCGGCGAGCCAGCGAUGGUGAGCGAAUCCCAAAAAGUGCGUCGUAGUCCGGAUUGGAGUCUGCAACUCGACUCCAUGAAGUCGGAAUCGCUAGUAAUCGUGGAUCAGAAUGCCACGGUGAAUACGUUCCCGGGCCUUGUACACACCGCCCGUCACACCAUGGGAGUGGGCUGCAAAAGAAGUGGGUAGUUUAACCUUAGGGGGGACGCUCACCACUUUGUAGUUCAUGACUGGGGUGAAGUCGUAACAAGGUAGGCGUAGUGCU